rnacentral:tRNA from 4 species
UGCCUCUGUGGCGGAAUUGGCAGACGCGCUGGACUCAAAAUCCAGUUCCCGUUGAGGGAGUGUGGGUUCGACCCCCACCGGAGGCAU